UUUCUAAGAAAAUAAUCAUGAUGCACGUGAAGACGAUUAUUGAAGAAUUAUCUGCAGUACAGAAAAAUGGAAAGACUCUAAAUUCAUAACAAUAACUGUUCCCAGAGAAGAAGGAGGAAAUCCUAGAAAGUGAGAAACCCAGUGGACCCAAUGCCAAGCAAGGAAAACCAGACAUGCAAAGUCAAGAGCACACCAGCACCAGCCCCGGGCUCACUGAGCCUGCCAAGAUCCCGACCCUUUUCCAGGGCCGUAGACAAAGGCAGAUAAUCUACAGGGUAACUUCCCAACAAGAUAGUUCUGUGUUGCAAGUCAUCAGUGGGCCAGAAACAUGUGUGCAAGAUGAGAUGUCUGUGGAUGCGAUGCAUGUCUUUAUUGAUGAACAUGGGGAAAUUAAAUCCUGUUACUUAAAGUCUGGAAAUCAGAAAGAAGGCCCUUUCCAGCAUCAGCCAUCAAAUUAUGACGGCUUCUCUCACGCUGGGUAAGUGGGGCUUGUUUUCUGGUUGGGGAAGGUGUCGCGUUGCUGCCCCCAGCAACUUACAUGCAACUGACUCUGAGUGUAAAUGAAGUGAAGAUCCUGGUGUAGAAUGAAUGUGAUAAUCCCUCUGUAGGCGGCAAAGCAUGUGGGUUUCACGUGAAAGAAAAAGAAAAUCAGAUAUUGUAGAAUAAUUGAAAAUAAACAGAACCCCUUUCAUAGCAGCCACUUCCAAAAGUGGAUAUAACACGUCGGCAUAAGUCGAGGGGAACCCUGUGCAGACAAUUAUGGGAAAGGUGGUGAUGCAGCUCAAGAACGCGUUAUUGAAUUCGUCUCAAGGAGCGGACUAGAGAUGUGGUUAGUUCUCAUCUGCGCUGACAGGCUCUUUUGUAGAUAGAUGAUCUAAGCAUCCUUUCUCUUCUCCUUUGGUGUGUGUUGAGUAACUUUCCUGAUCACGUUAAUUAAGUUGAUAUUGAAUUCGCUUGCGUAUCCAGAACGUACGUGGAUGAAUGGUGGCGUAGCGCACGCUGUAAAUCCUAUCAGUGGUGGACCGAAUUCAUCCUUCGUCCUGGACUUCAAGAUUCUUUGAGGAUAACCCACAGGGCCGGGCCUCAGUGGCUUGCUCUGAGUAAGGGAGGAGAGACUUUUCACGUACAUUUCUCUAGCGGUGUAGCCUAUUUGAGGAUGUAUGGAAGACUUGUGUGAUGUCACGGGGAUGCCUUAGGCUUCACGCCUGGAGAGGGUCAAGGGAGUUACAGGAACCCUACUUCCAGAUUC